rnacentral:rRNA from 1 species
GUGAACGCUGGCGGUAGGCCUAACACAUGCAAGUCGAACGGCAGCACCGUAAGAGCUUGCUCUUACGGGUGGCGAGUGGCGGACGGGUGAGGAAUACAUCGGACUCUACUUUUUCGUGGGGGAUAACGUAGGGAAACUUACGCUAAUACCGCAUACGACCUACGGGUGAAAGCAGGGGAUCUUCGGACCUUGCGCGAUUGAAUGAGCCGAUGUCGGAUUAGCUAGUUGGCGGGGUAAAGGCCCACCAAGGCGACGAUCCGUAGCUGGUCUGAGAGGAUGAUCAGCCACACUGGAACUGAGACACGGUCCAGACUCCUACGGGAGGCAGCAGUGGGGAAUAUUGGACAAUGGGCGCAAGCCUGAUCCAGCCAUACCGCGUGGGUGAAGAAGGCCUUCGGGUUGUAAAGCCCUUUUGUUGGGAAAGAAAAGCAGCAGGUGAAUACCCCGCUGUUCUGACGGUACCCAAAGAAUAAGCACCGGCUAACUUCGUG